CACGUUGCCGACCAUUUCCUUGACCACAUCCCCAACCAUUUCCUUGACCGCUUCCCUGGCCACUUCCCUGACCAGAACCGCUUCCCUGGCCGCUGCCCUGUCCAGAACCGCUUCCCUGGCCGCUGCCCUGGUCCUGGCCACAUCCCUGACCGCUGGCCUGACCCUGUCCGCUUCCCUGACCGCUGCCCUGGCCAGAAGCACUUCCCUGGUCCUGGCCAUUUCCCUGGCCACAACCGCUUCCCUGGCCACGUGGUUCACUGCAUGCAAAGCCACCGGUGGUUGGGCAACAUUUCUGUGUGGCAGGACACUGGCCAUCAUGGAAACAGCUUUCAGCACACAGUGGAAUCAUCUCUGGUAUGGGACAUUGACCCGGCUUCACUGCGUGGACACAGACAUAGUCAGCUUUAUUUUGUGCACAGACAGUAUGCCACUUCAAUAUACAACAAGAAACACAAAGC
rnacentral:lncRNA from 1 species